GGUGGAGCAUGUGGUUUAAUUCGAAGCAACGCGAAGAACCUUACCAGGUCUUGACAUCCUUUGACCACUCUAGAGAUAGAGCUUUCCCUUCGGGGACAAAGUGACAGGUGGUGCAUGGUUGUCGUCAGCUCGUGUCGUGAGAUGUUGGGUUAAGUCCCGCAACGAGCGCAACCCUUAUUACUAGUUGCCAGCAUUUAGUUGGGCACUCUAGUGAGACUGCCGGUGACAAACCGGAGGAAGGUGGGGAUGACGUCAAAUCAUCAUGCCCCUUAUGACCUGGGCUACACACGUGCUACAAUGGAUGGUACAACGAGUCGCAAGGUCGCGAGGCCAAGCUAAUCUCUUAAAGCCAUUCUCAGUUCGGAUUGUAGGCUGCAACUCGCNUACANGAAGNC
rnacentral:rRNA from 1 species